ensembl:lncRNA
ACUUGGUUACUUAUGUCAUAGAGUGGCUUGGGUUGGGAGGGACCUUAAAGAUCAACUCAUUCUGACCCUCUGCUGUAGAUGGCAUAGCUAACCAUUACAUCAAGCUGCCCAUGGCCCCAUCCCCAUCCAACCUGCUCUUGAAAGACAUUAACUUCAUCCAGUGUUUUCAUGAAUUAAAACACCUCAGGGAGGUUUGCCUUGGUUUCAAACAAAACAGCACUAAUGGCACACCAAUGUCUUGGCUGUUCCCAAGUGACAGGGACAAACCGAGCCACACUGCUUAGAAAAGCCACCACCAUGACAGCACAGCAGAAGGGGAGGGGCAAAGCCAAGAGCCACAUUAGGCCCAGGGUUGUUGCAUGACACAUGGCAGCAUGUGGAAGGCCAUAACACUGUGGGCACUUGGUCGGGUUGGUGCUGCUGCUCAGGGCUUGCUGAGUGUUGGUCAGUGUGUGGCGAGACCUACACUGUUGGCGGGGUUUUGUAUUAUUGCUAUGUGUCGGUCAGUGAGUGAUUGCAUUGCAGCUAUAUAUAUUACUAUCACUGCAUUUUUGUUUCCAUUUUCCUUUUCUGUCUCAGUAAAGAGUUUUUAUCUCAAUUCAUGAGUUCUGUUUCAUUUCCAGUUCUCUCCUUCAUCCCACCUGGGGAGAGUGAGCAAACAGUCGUACAGUGUUGAGCUGCCUGUGAACAGCAAGUCUUUCAGCUUUCUGAGCAUGGAUAGGGCCACAGCUGUGAUUCACUCUAUUACUUACACCAGAAGAUAACUCGGAGACUUAUUCUGGAAAACCUCUGAAUGGUGACAAGAAAUGGUGACAAUUUUGUAGUCACAGUGAUUGAUAUGCAUGGGCUGAGGUGCCUGAAGGUGCUUAAUUCCUUUCAAGGAAAGCAUAAGGGAUGAAGGGAUGUCAACAUAGAGAGUUUCCAGCUCCCAUACAGAGUGAACAGUUAAACUGUGAAAACAGAGGAACCUGCCCAGAACAGCUAAAACUCUUUUUUAUACUCUGUAGUUCAUCACAUUCUGUGUGAUGUAAAUUUACUACUGUUUUUCGGUUUGUUUUUGUUGUUGUUGUUGUUUUAUGCUGUUUGAGAUGAGGUCAUGCACUUGGCUUCUUUUGUCAGCUGCACUCCUCUGUUUCUAUUUAUAUAUACUGAGAUACAACAGAUUUUAAAAAGAGUUGUAAUAGUGGAGCACAUGCUAUUAAAUAGGUUGUAUUACAAGGGUUCAGAAGGAGCAAAAGAGCAAAAGCAGCAGCUAAAUUCUCCAAAGAUAAAAUGUUAGCUAAAAAUGUGAGAAUUCCUCUCAUUGCAGUGUCUUGCCAACAAGUCACAGAUGUACAGCACACGAGCAACUGAAAAAGCGAUUAUGAGGGUUAUAAUGGCAGCCCUGAAUCCAUAAUGCAUAAUGCAUUCAUCCCAAGGUGCAUUUGUGCAUCUGUUAAGGUAUUUCACAAGUCACGUAAGAGCUUUUAAAGCCUUUGUUUUUUUUUUGGUUUUUUUUUUUUUGAAUUGUUUAGCUCAUUUGCAGCAUAUAAUUGAUGUUUUAUAUUUUUAUCCAUAUUACUUUCUGACACUAAUACAUGACAUAAUGCAUGAAUUCAUUACAGUGACAAUUGUUCCAGUUUCUGUUCAUGAUUCAUCCUUUUGAGCUCUGUCGUCAUUUCUGCAUAUUUCUUUGUGUCCUCUUCAGCUUUUGCAGACUCCCUGCAACACUAAGCUGGUCCUGGCAAGGCAUGGUAGUUAGCCUGAAAUUUUCUUUUUUCCCUGGAGGCUCAUGUAAGCCAGUGUGGCCUAAAGUAAAGCAAUUUCUGUUCUUUCUUUUGUCAUACAAGCAGCAUUCUUCUCAAAAAUGUCUUUGAUCUCUCUACAUUCAAGUAACAUCUGUACAGUUCCCCAUAGAGGUUAUUUCUUCCCUUACCAAUUUUAUACAAAAUAAAAACUGAGAUAAUUCUUGAUUUACACUGGUGGGAGUGAGAAGAGAUUCUGGCCCAAUGAUCUUUUUCUACUCUCACCUCUCAAGGUGCUGCUCAUGCUGAUUUAAACAACAGCUGAAGCUGGUUUCUUGCCAUCUGAAUUCUAUUUUUUCUUCCAACACACCACAUCUGCUUGCUGUAUUUACUGAGAACACCAAGUCCUCCCUCCCAUCUUUGGCCUUGAGAGUUAAAACUUCUCUUGCUUUAAAAAAUGUUUUGUUUUAUAUUUUGUGUUACACAUUUUCUAAUACAAUGAUUCCAAAUUGCUAAACACUGUUCAGCCAUUUAUACCAAAGACACACAAAGUGAAUGAAAAAGUUGAAUGAUUAGAGUGACAUUUGACAUUAGUAUAAGAUAUUCUAUAUGUGAUGGGACUUAGUGGGGACCCUAUCAGUGUGAGCAACUCAUUUCUACGUAGGGAUUAAAACAGGGCUGUGUGAUUUUCCAUUUGUCACCUUCCUGAGCUAUUUGUUCCCACAGCUGUGUUACCACUAGUACAACACCAUUCAGACAGAUCUUUAUCCUGAUCAGAAUGCUAUUUUCUGAGUUAGUUGCUAACCCUUUUUUUCAGUCUCCUCUAAGGUACAGCAUUUUUUCCCAGCCAGUGCAGAUGAUCUUCUCUGUUUUACACUUUUAAGCUUUAUGAAUUAUUUCCUUUAAUAAUAACUCUAGCAGAUAUGUCAGCCAUGAUUUAUUCUGUAUUAUAUUAUAACAAAUUACUUUUAUAAGUUGAUACUUUGCCAGAUAUUUUGCGGCUUCUAGGUUUGAGUUUGUCUGUGUCCACCCCAGUGUAAACAAGGCAUCACAGAAUUCACUGCUGAUAAGCACAUGGGUAAAACUAGCACCGCUGAAGAGAGAAGAUGUUAAAGUAGCUUUUUGAGAGGUGAUGAGUAAAUUGGGGAAUAAAAAUUGAGAAUGCAUGAAAUGCCACUUAAAUGAGUCAUGGUAUAAUG